CGCUCGGCUUCCCUUCCCCACUGUGGAGGGUUUGUUUUUUCGCUCUUAGCAAUAAAUCUUGCUACGGCUCACUCUUUGGGUCCACGCUAUUUUUAUGAGCUCUAACACUCACGGCGAAGGUCUGCAGCUUCACUCCUGAGCCCAGCGAGACCACGGGGCCACCCGGAGGAACGACAAGUCCAGACGCGCUGCCUUAAGAGCUGUAACACUCACCGCGAAGGUCUGCAACUUCACUCCUGAGCCAGCGAGACCACGAAUCCACCAGAAGGAAGAAACUCCGAACACAUCUGAACAUCAGAAGGGGCAGACUCCAGACGCGCCACCUUAAGAGCUGUAACACUCACCGCGAGGGUCCGCGGCUUCAUUCUUGAAGUCAGUGAGAGCAAGAACCCACCAAUUCCGGACACAAUAGUAUCCACAGUGUGUAAAACAGUGAAGGCAUAUGGUAAGAGCAUAAUAUAUAUUGUAUACUUCAUACUCAAUGAAUGAGAUUUGUAAGUCUGCACUUCUUUGCCUUGCUAUUUCAUGCAAGAAGCAAUGUGAAAAAGAAAGCCUAAAAAGAAGUUUGUUCUGCAUAAGACUUUUGCCACCUUUUCAACAACCAUGCAAAAAAUGGAUGGCAGGCCCUGUAGACCUGAUCUUUUUAAGGUGCACUUACAACUGAAAGGUCAGCCUUCAUUAUGUUUCCAGCAUACCUGUGUACUUAAUAAGAGAACAGUUACCUACAAGAGCAACAACUAAGAAAAAAAUGUCCACAGUGAAACUUAAUCCCCGAGGUGUUACUGUCUCUCCAUGCCUGCAUGUGGAUCUCACCAUUCCUCUAGUCCUGGUGCUUGCUUUCAACACAGAGCUCUGGACUGCAAGGCAUUUGAUUUCUGUGGUGAACGUCAAACUUCGAAGGGGCAAGGCGACAGCUGGCAAUGUUUAUUCUGCAUACUUCACAGUAUUCUUUCACAAUAUUUUAAUUUUUGCAUCUCAAAAUUCCAUUGACAAUCAUUGAACAACUUCCCUUUGCUUUUACAAAAGAAGAAAGUGCAAAGGUGUACAUAAAAAUCUCUGAUCAUUUUUAGCACUUCUGCCUGUAUGUAACUGGGAGCUUUGUGAGCCUGUGGUUUCUCUCCUCCUUGGUAAGCCUAUCCAUCAAUAGGUGCUAUGUAGUUCCAACAGUGAGGAUGUGAAAAGAGGGCAGUGACAAAUAUCCUGUGAAAAUAAAACUUUGUCUCCUG
rnacentral:lncRNA from 1 species